rnacentral:tRNA from 1 species
GGAGAGAUGGCCGAGGGGUUGAAGGCGCUCGACUCGAAAUCGAGUAGGUGGUGCUGAGCCGCCUCGUGGGUUCGAAUCCCACUCUCUCCGCCA